UAUUCUUAACUAAUUCCUUAUCAUGAAUAUAACUAUUCAAGAUUAAAAAACAAAUAAGAAAUAUAUGUCUUUAUAUUAUUAAUUUAUAAAUUACAAUUACAAUAUCGGAAAGGGUAAAUUCCACUCAUUUAGUUAAACUACAACUGGGUACAAGGUUUGUUGGUAUCCUUGAGAAAAAAAAUCGGCAUAAUUUUAUGAAGGGUGGGCCUUCAUAAAAUUCACGUUCGCUCAUUUUGGGCAGGUCUAUGACCAACGUGCUAGAUAAGAUAAGAAGAAGUCUACAAAGAUAAUUUAUUUUGAAAAAUAAUGGGAGUGUGCUGUGUUCAAAAUUGUAAUAAAACAAAUAAAAUAGUAAACAAUUUCCAUAUAUCUUAUCACAAAUGUUAACAUUAUCAAACAUAUAGCCAAUCUAGUACCCAUACCCACCACUUCAUCUUAUAAUUUUAGAAACACAAACCCACAUAUCCUGAAAUUAUCUUUAUAUUUAGAUAAUGUAUCAAUUUAUAUAUUGGGAUAUAUUGUACACCAACUUAUUAAAGAAAAAAAGCUACGUUGUGAUGUUUGCAUUACAGCAAUGGUUAGUGAUUCUUAUAAUGAUAAUAAUAUCAAUAAUAUGCUAAUAAAUAUUAAAAAUAAUGGGGGGGGGGUGGUGAUACCUUCUACUAGUAUGUCCAAACUAUGCAGAAUAUGUGAAAGUUCAUUUAGAACUUAUCAAAAUGAAAUCACACAUAAAAAUAUUUUUAAAAAAAUGGAAGUAUUAAUUUUUUCCAAAAUAAUAGAUACAAAUAUUUAAAAGAAAUGAAUUUAAUAUUUUUUUAAUAGGCACAAAUCUCUUUAUUGAUUUUUGUGAUCAUAUCAUUGAACAUGAAAUUGGGUACAGCCAUUUUCAAAUUCUUGUAAAAUUAAUUGUUCAAAAGUGAUGAGAAAAUGUACUCAAAAAUAAUAUGAAAGUGAAUUGUUGCAAUAUCUUUUCCUUUUCAAGGCCUAUACAUUUGUAUCAUUAUAUACUUAUUAAAUAUACUUUAAAUAAAUGAUUUAUAUAAUAUAAUUUAUAC